AAAGGAAUAGACGGGGACCCGCACAAGCGGUGGAUUAUGUGGUUUAAUUCGACGCAACGCGAAGAACCUUACCAAGCCUUGACAUCCCGAGCAAAUCUAUAGAGAUAUAGAGGAGGUUAUCUCGGUGACAGGUGGUGCAUGGUUGUCGUCAGCUCGUGUCGUGAGAUGUUGGGUUAAGUCCCGCAACGAGCGCAACCCUUGUCUUUAGUUACCAGCAUUAAGUUGGGGACUCUAGAGAGACUGCCGGUGACAAACCGGAGGAAGGUGGGGAUGACGUCAAAUCAGCAUGCCCCUUAUGGCUUGGGCUACACACGUAAUACAAUGGCGUAUACAAAGGGAAGCGACCCAGUGAUGGUGAGCAAAUCUCAUAAAGUACGUCUCAGUUCGGAUUGGAGUCUGCAACUCGACUCCAUGAAGUUGGAAUCGCUAGUAAUCGCGAAUCAGCAUGUCGCGGUGAAUACGUUCUCGGGUCUUGUACACACCGCCCGU
rnacentral:rRNA from 1 species